UAUGCUUAGCCUUAAACCUAAAUAAUUUUUUAACAAAAUUAUUCGCCAGAGAACUACAAGCCAGAGCUUAAAACUCAAAGGACUUGGCGGUGCUUUAUACCCGCCUAGAGGAGCCUGUUCUAUAAUCGAUAAACCCCGAUAAACCUUACCACUCUUUGCCAACUCAGCCUAUAUACCGCCAUCUUCAGCAAACCCUAAAAAGGGACAAAAGUAAGCUCAAUCAUCACCAUAAAAACGUUAGGUCAAGGUGUAGCCUAUAGAGUGGAAAGCAAUGGGCUACAUUUUCUACUUUAGAACACACGAAAGCCCCUAUGAAACUCUAGAGACCAAAGGAGGAUUUAGCAGUAAAUUAAGAAUAGAGUGCUUAAUUGAACAAGGCCAUGAAGCACGC
rnacentral:rRNA from 1 species